GUGGCCCAGGAACAUAAAGCCUAUGACCCAGACAUGCUUCCAUGUGUAAAUGUUACUGUUCAAAUACCACAGGCAUUUACAACCUCUUCUGAAAUCCCCUAAGAUGGGCCUAUAUUUCACUCUGGAUGUAAAACUGCCAUUACUGCUCUGACCUGUGAGGAACUUGAUAGUGAUCUGAGGUAAACGCAGCUAUUGUACACCAAGAUACAGCUCAUGUCUGAUCCUGUGAUUUAUUCGGUUCUUUCCCAACUUCUGUUUAUUCAUUUAGUUUUAAUCUCACAAUUCUUUCCUGUGUCCUUGUAAAGUGAGAUUUGGAACCUAGCCAGGGGCAUCCCCAGAAGACUUGGCUUACACUACCUAAUAAUACAAUUUUGAUGAGAAAGUGUUAAUGAACGUCAGCUCCUCUUUUCAUUAACACAUGCUCUCAACCAUGUCUCUCCUUUUGUGGUGAAAGAUGUUCACACCAUCACCAUCUCAACGAUUCUACAACAUCACACAUCUCGUUUUGGCUCUGUGGAUCAGCAUUUUGAAUGAGAGUUUGCGUCGAGCACCAAAGCCAACUUAUUGACAUAUUUCUUAAAUUUCAUAUCCUUCUUUCUAUGUAGUGUUGUUGACAACAUGAAGCUGGAAGAACUACCCGGUUGCUACUUUAUUAUAAAGGUGUUAACUCUCCUGUCAAACCCUGUAAAUUACCAUUAGUACUGAAAGAUCAGUAAUGGCUUGUUGAUAUGAACAUAAACUUGAACAAAGUUUGGGCUUCAGUUACAGUACGUAUUUGCAUUUAGCAGAUAGAUGUAGAUAACAGUGAGUAGAUAGAGAACUGACCGUGUGCUCUGUCCUACCCCGCAGUGCCUCGUUUGACUCGACGGUGCGUCUGUGGGACGUGGAGCGAGGUGUGUGUAUCCACACCCUGACCAAACACCAGGAGCCCGUCUACAGUGUGGCCUUCAGCCCCGACGGGAAGCACCUGGCCAGCGGCUCCUUCGACAAGUGUGUACACAUCUGGAACACCAUGUCUGGAGCCUUGGUGCAUAGCUACAGGGGGACCGGUGGGAUUUUUGAGGUGUGCUGGAACAGCACAGGAGACAAAGUUGGUGCUAGCGCUUCAGAUGGAUCGGUAUGUGUUCUCGAGCUCCGAAAAUAGCAUCCUGGCAGUGACUUUGAAGAUGGACCCUGGAAUGUGCGGAAAAAAAUGCCUUCUGCCAGCAGCAAACACACUCUCAUAGUUCAAAGCAGGACUGGCAACGUGGAGGACAACCUCAUAGGGGUGGACACAGGAGACCAACAAAAUACUUUUUUAACUGGCACAACCUACUGAAUGGCAGUUUGUGGAUUUGUGUCUCCUGUUUGAGACCACAAUGAAAAUCUGCAGGGUUAAUUAAUCCACAGGACUGGACUAAAUCCAAUAAAUGUUGUUCAGCCAUGUUUUAAAACGGGCCUAAAGAGGAAGUGAAAGGACCACCUGCCCCUGCUGUUAUUUGGCUAGGGCCUGAAUCAUGAGGAAGAAGGUUUGCAGAGGGAGAGGUCGGUGUGAGGAGAGACAGACCAGUGUUUGGGGUCAAAUUGUGAGAGAAAGGUUGUGUUUUAGAACUUAUCUAAGCACAUGUUAACCCUGUGGUGUCCUGAGUUGAGAAACAAUGUGGGAGACAUGAGUUAGUGCUGCACUGGCCUCCUCAAAUGAUGUGAUGUUUAAGUGGUCCUGAGUGGAAAAGGGUUUCUGUUUCAAGAGCACUUCUUGCUGACUUUUCUCAAAUGGACUUUUGAGAGUCAGAGUAACAA